rnacentral:rRNA from 1 species
UACAGAGGGUGCGAGCGUUAAUCGGAAUUACUGGGCGUAAAGCGUGCGUAGACGGUUAUUUAAGUCGGGUGUGAAAGCCCCGGGCUCAACCUGGGAAUUGCAUUCGAGACUGAAUAGCUAGGGUACGGUAGAGGGAAGUGGAAUUUCCGGUGUAGCGGUGAAAUGCGUAGAUAUCGGAAGGAACAUCAGUGGCGAAGGCGGCAUCCUGGACCGGCAUUGACGCUGAGGCGCGAAAGCCAGGGGAGCAAACGGG